rnacentral:rRNA from 1 species
CCUACGGGAGGCAGCAGUGAGGAAUAUUGGUCAAUGGCCGAGAGGCUGAACCAGCCAAGUCGCGUGAGGGAAGACGGCCCUACGGGUUGUAAACCUCUUUUGUCGGGGAGCAAAUCGAGUCACGUGUGACUCAUUGAGAGUACCCGAAGAAAAAGCAUCGGCUAACUCGGUGCCAGCAGCCGCGGUAAUACGGAGGUGGCGAGCGUUAUCCGGAUUUAUUGGGGUUAAAGGGUGAGCAGGCGGAGGUGAAAGUCAGCGGUCAAAUUGCGGGGCUCAACCCCGUACUGCCGUUGAACCUGGGCGCCUUGAGUUCACAACAGGCAGGCGGAAUUCGUGGUGUAGCGGUGAAAUGCAUAGAUAUCACGAGGAACCCCGAUUGCGAAGGCAGCCUGCCGGGGUGCGACUGACGCUGAGGCUCGAAGGUGCGGGUAUCAAACAGGAUUAGAUACCCGAGUAGUC